AAACGAGGGGAACCUGGAAGGUCGAACGGGGGGAUUCAGUUCGGGGGAUGCUUGCAGCCGGGGUGUAAGGGACCGCAAGGCCCUUCCCCCGUCUCGCGGGCUUCCACGAGCGUACUUCCCCCUUAGUAGGUCGCCGCGACCCGUUGCGGGGCUGUCGAAGGCCCGGGUGGGCGGAACCGUCCCUCCGUGGACGGGGACCCCCCGGUGUCCUGGCUGGCCCUGCGACGGUCCCAUCCCGAUGCCCGCUCUUGUAGCGCCCCUUCGUCUGGGGCAGUGGUGUCCUUCUGCGGCGUGUAGGUCGGUGAUCCACUCGACCCGUCUUGAAACACGGACA
rnacentral:rRNA from 1 species